AUUGAACGCUGGCGGCAGGCUUAACACAUGCAAGUCGAACGAGUGGCGGACGGGUGUGUAAUGCUUGGGUAUCUAGCUUAUGGCGGGGGAUAACUACGGGAAACUGUAGCUAAUACCGCUUACCAUAGGAUGAGCCCAAGGGGGAUUAGGUAGUUGGUGCGGUAUAGGUUCACCAAUGCGACGAUCUCUAGCUGGUCUGAGAGGAUGACCAGCCACACUGGGACUGAGACACGGCCCAGACUCCUACGUGAGGCAGCAGUGGGGAAUAUUGCGCAAUGGGGGCAACCUGACGCAGCCAUGCCGCGUGAAUGAAGAAGGCCUUCGGGUUGUAAAGUUCUUUCGGUAGAGAGGCGUUAACUACAGAAGAAGCACCGGCUAACUCCGUGCCAGCCGCCGCGGUAAUAC
rnacentral:rRNA from 1 species